rnacentral:siRNA from 1 species
UGUAUAACGAUGUGUUCGCUUAU